rnacentral:rRNA from 1 species
GUGCCAGCAGCCGCGGUAAUACGUAGGGUGCGAGCGUUAAUCGGAAUUACUGGGCGUAAAGGGUGCGCAGGCGGUUUUGUAAGCCAGACGUGAAAUCCCCGGGCUUAACCUGGGAACUGCGUUUGGAACUGCAAGACUAGAGUGUGUCAGAGGGAGGUGGAAUUCCACGUGUAGCAGUGAAAUGCGUAGAUAUGUGGAGGAACACCGAUGGCGAAGGCAGCCUCCUGGGAUAACACUGACGCUCAUGCACGAAAGCGUGGGGAGCAAACAGGAUUAGAUACCCUGGUAGUCC